GAGGGUGCAAGCGUUGUCCGGAAUCAUUGGGCGUAAAGAGUUCGUAGGUGGCACGUUAAGUCUGGUGUUAAAUGCAGAGGUUCAACUUCUGUUCGGCACUGGAUACUGGCGAGCUUGAAUGCGGUAGAGGUAAAGGGAAUUCCUGGUGUAGCGGUGAAAUGCGUAGAUAUCAGGAGGAACAUCGGUGGCGUAAGCGCUUUACUGGGCCGUAAUUGACACUGAGGAACGAAAGUGCGGGUAUCAAA
rnacentral:rRNA from 1 species